GAUGAACGCUGGCGGCGUGCCUAACACAUGCAAGUCGAGCGAUUCUCUUCGGAGAAGAGCGGCGGACGGGUGAGUAACGCGUGGGUAACCUGCCCUGUACACACGGAUAACAUACCGAAAGGUACGCUAAUACGGGAUAACGUAAGAGAGUCGCAUGGCUUUCUUAUCAAAGCUCCGGCGGUACAGGAUGGACCCGCGUCUGAUUAGCUAGUUGGUGAGGUAAUGGCUCACCAAGGCGACGAUCAGUAGCCGACCUGAGAGGGUGAUCGGCCACAUUGGAACUGAGACACGGUCCAAACUCCUACGGGAGGCAGCAGUGGGGAAUAUUGCACAAUGGGCGAAAGCCUGAUACAGCAACGCCGCGUGAGCGAUGAAGGCCUUCGGGUCGUAAAGCUCUGUCCUCAAGGAAGAUAAUGACGGUACUUGAGGAGGAAGCCCCGGCUAACUACGUGCCAGCCGCCGCAGUAA
rnacentral:rRNA from 1 species